GUCGAUAGCAGAUAUGGAUGGAUUGUUUUCAUUAAAACAUAUGAAACAAUCUUAAAGUCAUUACAUUGUGUUUCAUGUCGAUCUCUCCGUGAUCACAGGCUGGAACUGGUAUAUUAGAACUCAUAGCACUUGCAAUUUCAAAGAAGGUAAAAGAUUUAGGUUGCCAAUGGUUUUUCAAAGUCGUAUUCUCGUUUAGUAUGUUUGAUCACUUGAAAAAUUGUGUUUGUUAUCUGUAGACAAAUGCCCCUGUGGAGGAAGCGCGUAAAUAACUAUUGAUCUCGCACUUUACUUGAAUAUGUGAUGCCUAACCAUGGGGAGCCAGCUACAACGUCAUUACCCAAAUUGGUUAGCUCUAACAAUUAAGUCUAACUUGAUUUGGUGAGCUUUGUUCUGAUCUUUCUGCUUCUGGAUAAUAUAGAUCUUCUUUAGUAACCUCUGGUAAACUUGGAGCUCUAGCUUCUCCAGGACAAGAUAAAUGCCAGACCUUAAAAACUGGACUUCAUGUUCCUGCAGAGCACAUUGAAGAAGUUGUAGAUCCCCCCUUCUAAGAGCAAGCACA
rnacentral:lncRNA from 1 species